CCCUUAGAUGUUCUGGGCUGCACGCGCGCUACACUGAAGCGUUCAACGAGUAUUCACCUUGCCCGGGAGGGUUGGGUAAUCUUUUGAAAACGCUUCGUGAUGGGGAUAGAUUAUUGCAAUUAUUAAUCUUCAACGAGGAAUUCCUAGUAAGCGCGAGUCAUCAGCUCGUGCUGAUUACGUCCCUGCCCUUUGUACACACCGCCCGUCGCUCCUACCGAUUGAAUGGUCCGGCGAGGUUCUCGGAUUUUUUCUGUUGUUUGGUUCGCUAAACGAUUGAAGAGAGAAGUUACCCAAACCUUACCAUUUAGAGGAAGGAGAAGUCGUAACA
rnacentral:rRNA from 1 species